AGGUAGUUUGUCACAAUAAGAUAUACAAGUUGAGAUCAUGUUUACAAUAUAUCACAAGUAUGUUGAUUUUAAGCUGCUGCAUCAGGAUUAAGGAAACCAGUGUAGUGAGAAUUGAGUGGUGAUGUCUCUGGGAGUGGGUCUCUUGUGGGUGGCUGGCAGUAGAUAUAGAGCGUACAAUGCUCUGGAGAAGAUGGGUACAGGUGUCCCAGAGUGAUAUAGUCCCCGUGUUGUUCCUCUAAGUUGGGCCCUGUAGAGUCCGUAGUGGUCAAGAAUAG